rnacentral:piRNA from 1 species
UGAUCCUUUCGGUAUAGAUAA